rfam:Myotis davidii contig127064, whole genome shotgun sequence.
GUUCACAUCAGCAGCACGUGUACUAAAAUUGGAAGGAAACAGAAGAUUAGCAUGGCCCCUGUGCAAGGAUGACACUCAAAUUCGUAAAGUGUUUCAUAUUUAA